rnacentral:rRNA from 1 species
GACGAACGCUGGCGGCGUGCUUAACACGUGCAAGUCGAACGAAGAGCGAUGGAAGCUUGCUUCUAUCACUCUUAGUGGCGAACGGGUGAGUAACGCGUAAUCAACCUGCCCUUCAGAGGGGGACAACAGUUGGAAACGACUGCUAAUACCGCAUACGAUCUGACCUCGGCAUCGAGGAUAGAUGAAAGGUGGCCUCUACAUGUAAGCUAUCACUGAAGGAGGGGAUUGCGUCUGAUUAGCUAGUUGGAGGGGUAACGGCCCACCAAGGCGAUGAUCAGUAGCCGGUCUGAGAGGAUGAACGGCCACAUUGGGACUGAGACACGGCCCAGACUCCUACGGGAGGCAGCAGUGGGGAAUCUUCCGCAAUGGACGAAAGUCUGACGGAGCAACGCCGCGUGAGUGAUGACGGCCUUCGGGUUGUAAAGCUCUGUUAAUCGGGACGAAAGGCCUUUUUGCGAAUAGUGAGAAGGAUUGACGGUACCGGAAUAGAAAGCCACGGCUAACUACGUG